GUUUGCCUUAAGUGAAUAUUGAAUUGUUUAAGCAAACGAGAUCUAGGAAUGAACGGCGAUUGGGGUCGAGGGGGGCCGACCGACCCCACUGCAGGCCCAUGAAUACGGCCAGAAUCAAGCUUCUGUCGUUGUGCUUCAAGUCUUCGACCCAACGAUGUAGAAAGAAUAGCAGAUAUGCAACGGCUAAUGAAAAGGAGAGUGUUAAUCAAGGAUCAAUUGAGAAUUUAUACUAUAUUUAUUGGAGGCUAUGAAGAAACUACACGUUAUGGCUUAAUAAAGUGUUAAUUUAGGCGCUAUAAAGUUAUUUAUGAAGGUAUUAAGACACUAAAUGUUCUAGUGUAUUUUUUUUUCAUAGUCAUAACAUAAUUACAUCA